rnacentral:rRNA from 1 species
GAUGAACGCUGGCGGCGUGCCUAAUACAUGCAAGUCGAGCGAACAGACGAGGAGCUUGCUCCUCUGACGUUAGCGGCGGACGGGUGAGUAACACGUGGAUAACCUACCUAUAAGACUGGGAUAACUUCGGGAAACCGGAGCUAAUACCGGAUAAUAUAUUGAACCGCAUGGUUCAAUAGUGAAAGACGGUUUUGCUGUCACUUAUAGAUGGAUCCGCGCCGCAUUAGCUAGUUGGUAAGGUAACGGCUUACCAAGGCAACGAUGCGUAGCCGACCUGAGAGGUGGACCGGCCACAUUGGAACUGAGCCACGGCCCAGCCCCCGACGGGAGGCAGCGGGGGGGAAUUUUCCGCAAGGGGCGAAGACUGGAGGGGGCACCGCCGCGGGGUUGAUGAAGGUCUUGGGAUCGUAAAACUUUUUUAUGAGGAAAAAAAAAAUGUGUAAGUACAUAGGCCCGUCUUGACGGUACCUAAUAAGAAAGCCCCGGCUAACCCCGUG